rnacentral:rRNA from 1 species
GCGGCACGCCCAACACAUGCAAGUCGAACGGAAUAAGUAGCUUCGGUUAUCUAUUGAGUGGCGGACGGGUGAGUAACACGUGGGAACCUGCCCAGCAGCGGGGGACAACUGUUGGAAACGACAGGUAAUAUCGCAUACGCCCUUCGGGGGAAAGAUUUAUCGCUAUUGGAUGGGCCCGCGGUGGAUUAGGUAGUUGGUAGGGUAAAGGCCUACCAAGCCAAUGAUCCAUAGCUGGUUUGCGAGGACGGCCAUCCACACUGGGACUGAGACACGGCCCAGACUCCUACGGGAGGCAGCAGUGGGGAAUCUUAGACAAGGGGUGAAACCCUGAUCUAGCGAUGCCGCGUGAGUGAAGAAGGCCUGCGGGUUGUAAAGCUCUUUUACCUGUGAAGAUGAUGACGGUAGCAGGAGAAAAAGCACCGGCAAACUCUGUGCCAGCCGCCGCAGUAA